UACGUAGGGUGCGAGCGUUGUCCGGAUUUAUUGGGCGUAAAGAGCUCGUAGGCGGCUUGUCGCGUCGGAUGUGAAAGCCCGGGGCUUAACUCCGGGUCUGCAUUCGAUACGGGCAGGCUAGAGUGUGGUAGGGGAGAUCGGAAUUCCUGGUGUAGCGGUGAAAUGCGCAGAUAUCAGGAGGAACACCGGUGGCGAAGGCGGAUCUCUGGGCCAUUACUGACGCUGAGGAGCGAAAGCGUGGGUAGCGAACAGG
rnacentral:rRNA from 1 species